UUGAGUUAUGUGUCUUUAGUUUGUUAAAUGAAGACAUAACCUAUGGAGUGUUUGGACGUGGGUUCGACUCCCACCAGCUCCAUCCA
rnacentral:tRNA from 4 species